GGAUGUUUGCCGAGCUUUGACAGGCGUGGCAGAGGGAGCAGUGCCCGAGCGCGGUUUCUCUUAAGGUUCUGCAGGGCAAGGCUGUCGGGGACAGGCUUGGCCAUGGAUCCGCUCUCAGAGCUGCAGGAUGAUCUGACCUUGGAUGACACCAGUGAGGCUCUGAACCAGCUGAAGCUGGCCUCCAUCGAUGAGAAGAACUGGCCCUCGGAUGAAAUGCCUGACUUCCCCAAGUCAGAUGACUCCAAAAGCAGCUCCCCGGAACCUGUCACACACCUGAAGUGGGAUGACCCAUACUAUGACAUCGCCCGGCACCAGAUCGUGGAGGUGGCAGGAGAUGACAAGUAUGGGCGGAAGAUCAUUGUGUUUAGUGCCUGUCGAAUGCCCCCCAGCCACCAGCUCGACCACAGCAAGCUCCUGGGGUGAGUACCUGCCGGGAAGUGCGUUGGGGCUUUGCCCAGAUCCCCAUUGUAGCCUAAUGCCACGUUCUUUACUGUCCCUCCCUGCCUGUGGGUGCUAGGCCACCUGCCUUAAUGCCUCCCCUCUUCUCAUGAAGGAGCUGGUUAUAUUUAGGGGAGAGCACUGGAUGAGGAGUCAGACCUAGUUUCUAGUUAUUGAAGCUGGGUGACCUUGGUAAGCGUCUUUAAGCCUCGCUUUCCUCACCUUUCAAAAGGGAUCAUAAUAUAGGCCUCUUUCCUUGUAGGAGUGAGAAACAGCACAUGAAAAGGAAGGACUUUUGUCCAGAUGUGAGGAUUGACUGUUACAAUCCUAUGGUGUUUCUGAGAUGGUUGCAGUUGUUUAUUGUUUAUAGGACUCAUUAGUGUUGUCUUAUUUUGUGCCUUUGGUGUCAGUGGUUUCUGUACCGAUGUGGGUUCUGGGAGCCAAACAUAUGUAAUAGCUCUGG
rnacentral:sRNA from 1 species